UACGUAGGGUGCAAGCGUUGUCCGGAAUUAUUGGGCGUAAAGGGCUCGUAGGCGGUCCGUCACGUCGGGAGUGAAAACUUGGGGCUUAACCCCAAGCCUGCUUCCGAUACGGGCGGACUAGAGGUAGGCAGGGGGAGAACGGAAUUCCUGGUGUAGCGGUGAAAUGCGCAGAUAUCAGGAGGAACACCGGUGGCGAAGGCGGUUCUCUGGGCCUUACCUGACGCUGAGGAGCGAAAGCGUGGGGGAGCAAACAGG
rnacentral:rRNA from 1 species